AUGAGCGAGAUAUCGUCGUCGUCGGCGGCGGCGGCGGACGGGAAGCAGGGGCCGUCGACGGGGCCGGCGGCGUGGGAGACGUCCCCGGUGGAGGAGGUGCGGCUGACGGUGCCCGACGGCGACGACCCGACGCUGCCGGUGUGGACGUUCCGGAUGUGGGCCAUCGGGCUGCUGGCCUGCGCGCUCAUGAGCUUCCUCAACCAGUUCUUCUCCUACCGGACGGAGCCGCUGGUGGUGACCCAGAUCACGGUGCAGGUGGCGUCGCUGCCCGUGGGCCACUUCCUGGCCCGCGCGCUGCCCCGCCGCAGGUUCCGCGUCGGCGGCCGGGAGUGGAGCCUCAACCCGGGGCCCUUCAGCAUGAAGGAGCACGUGCUCAUCUCCAUCUUCGCCAACGCCGGCUUCGCCUUCGGCAACGGCAACGCCUACUCGGUGAUGAUCGUCGACAUCAUCCGCGCCUUCUACCGCCGCUCCAUCUCCUUCCUCGCCGCGACACUGCACGAGAAGGAGGAAUUUACCGGGGGCUCAAAGCGGAUGUCCCGCUCCAAGUUCUUCCUGGUGGUGCUCAUCUGCAGCUUCGUGUGGGCCUUCGUGCCAGGCUACCUCUUCCAGUCGCUGACCUCCAUCUCGUGGGUGUGCUGGGUCUUCUCCAAGUCCGUCACGGCGCAGCAGCUCGGCUCGGGCAUGAAGGGCCUGGGUCUCGGAGCUUUCACGCUCGACUGGACCGCCAUCUCCUCCUUCCUCUUCAGCCCGCUCAUCUCGCCCUUCUUCGCCACCGUCAAUGUCUUCGUCGGCUACGUCUUGUUCAUGUAUGUGGUGAUGCCCACGGCGUAUUGGGGGAUGAACCUCUACAACGCCAAGACGUUCCCCAUAUUCUCCUCUCACCUCUUCGCCUCCAAUGGGUCGCCCUAUAAGAUCGCCGACAUUGUGAACCAGCAGUUCCGGCUUGACACGGAGGCGUACGCCAAGCUCGGACGCAUAAACCUCAGCAUCUUUUUUGCAAUCUCUUAUGGCCUCAACUUUGCCACCAUCGCCGCAACCAUCACGCACGUCGGCCUCUUCUACGGCAAGUAA
rnacentral:rRNA from 1 species